rnacentral:precursor_RNA from 13 species
UGCAGUCGGAAGAAGGUGUUGGGGAUGUGGUGGUCACUGUCAGUCAUUGUGUUUCAACCACAUGAUGAUUGUACUGUGACUACCAUAUACCUUUCCGAGUCAAUUGCCCACAGG